ACAGAUGCUGCCAGGGAAGAUUUUCUAAAAGCGCGUAAACAAGCCCCUGAAGAUAAAGCAAUUGCAAGAGAAUUGAAAUUACUUGCUGAACAUGACAAAGCUAUUUAUCAAAAGCAGAAAGAGAUCUAUAAAGGAAUAUUUGGACCAAGGCCACAACCAGUACCUAAGAAAAGGAAUUUGCUUUUACUUGUUUGGCAGUGGUUAGUUUCAGUGUUUUAUAGCUUUAUCACACUCUUCAACCGCGAAAAGAACAAAUCUGACUAAUGUAUUACUGUUGAAUAUCAAAACCAUUGUUGCGUUGACAAUUGUUUACGUGCAUCCUAUGAACGGCGACUGCAAUUUUUGCUACUGACGGAACAAUUGACAGAACAAUUCUGGUUUUGCUAUUACUAUUUAUCUUUGCUAGUGGAACAAUCAGAUGCCGGAAAAUGUCUGUAUUUCACACUUCUCUAGAGUAAUCGUGUUUUGACAAUUUUAUCAACCUAUUCUAUGAUUUGAAUAGUUUGUUCAUAAGCGUUAUUUUGGCCGAUUGAUCUUCCAAUAUGAUAGUUUGUUGAUUAAUUUAAUAUAUAAGGAGUAAGGACUAUCUGGAUCAACUUAUAAAUAACUGCCUGGAUUUAUCUAUUGGUAUAAAUAUUUGUUUGGAAUGUUCGAUAGAGAUUAUAGUAACAACUUAUUUCAAUAAGCUGCCCGUUAUAGCUUAUGAAAGUAGUUUUUAGCUUAUAUGAAAAUAUAUUGACUAUGUUGCCUCGAUUAGAUUGUAAUGACUCUUUGUCUUAGCUUCUUAGGAAUUCUUCCACUUUUUGUUCUGUAGAAACAUCAUAUGCAACCUUUGUAGCUGAGACACUGAACAUACAAAUGAUCUUUUUCUUGCUCCUAUGCUAAAUCUCUUUGGCUUUGGUUGGGUAACAUCUUCAACAUUGUUUUGAACUGCACUAGCUUUCAUCAAACUAGAAUGAUUGGGUUGCUAUAAAUUAUGGGUAUGCAAGAGAAUAAAUUCUAUUAUUAAUAACGGUAGCUCUAAUGGCUAUUUUAUAACAAUUCCAGAUGAAAUAUUUGCUUCAUCAUUUCAGAUUACAAUACAAAUCUCUUAGAAUUGAGUUUGCUUAUAAUUAACGACAUCUACAUUGAUGAAAAACACAUUUUGGAACAAAAGGAUGUUCGCACACAUACUUGGAACAAUGAGAAUCAUCUUUGCACCUCAUCCUUGCAAUUUCUGUAAUAUAAAAGAUAAGAAACAAAUAUUACUAUUAAAAGUGGUGAAUUAUUUUGUAUAAGAUAAACAAUAAAGCUCAAAAGGAAUAAAAAAUAUAUUUACCACUAGCAUCAACUACAACAAGAAAUAAGAAAAUUAAAAAGAUCACUAAAUAAACGAACUUAAAAAUUUGAGACAUAUUUUUCUCCUAUAGAAAUGUUUAUAAAUGUACUAUGUUUUGUUUAUUUGUUUCAAUUUUUUGCACUUAUAUAUCUUAAAAAAA
rnacentral:lncRNA from 1 species